GAAGUAAAAAGUCGUAACAAGGUCUCCGUUGGUGAACCAGCGGAGGGAUCAUUACCGAGUUUACAACUCCCAAACCCCUGUGAACAUACCAAUUGUUGCCUCGGCGGAUCAGCCCGCUCCCGGUAAAACGGGACGGCCCGCCAGAGGACCCCUAAACUCUGUUUCUAUAUGUAACUUCUGAGUAAAACCAUAAAUAAAUCAAAACUUUCAACAACGGAUCUCUUGGUUCUGGCAUCGAUGAAGAACGCAGCAAAAUGCGAUAAGUAAUGUGAAUUGCAGAAUUCAGUGAAUCAUCGAAUCUUUGAACGCACAUUGCGCCCGCCAGUAUUCUGGCGGGCAUGCCUGUUCGAGCGUCAUUUCAACCCUCAAGCCCAGCUUGGUGUUGGGACUCGCGAGUCAAAUCGCGUUCCCCAAAUUGAUUGGCGGUCACGUCGAGCUUCCAUAGCGUAGUAGUAAAACCCUCGUUACUGGUAAUCGUCGCGGCCACGCCGUUAAACCCCAACUUCUGAAUGUUGACCUCGGAUCAGGUAGGAAUACCCGCUGAACCUAAGCAUAUCA
rnacentral:misc_RNA from 1 species